rnacentral:rRNA from 1 species
UUGGCGCGCCUCAAUUAUGGUGCUAUUAGUCUUAUUCCGAAAGUUAAGGGCGCUGAUAAUAUUCGACUUUUUAGGCCUAUCACUUUGAUCAACGUGCCUUUCAAACUGUGCGCUAAAGCCUACGCUACGCGUCUGGCGCCAGUAGCCCACCGUGUUAUCCUAAAAGGUCAAACUGCGUUUUUGAAAGGACGUAACAUCCUCGAAGGCCCUAUUGCGCUAGGAGAAAUUGUUCAUGAACUUAAGCAUUCUAAGGGGAAAGGGAUCAUGCUUAAAUUAGAUUUUGAAAAAGCUUACGGCCGAGUUAACUGGGAGUUUAUUCGGGAAGUCUUCCUUAAAAAGGGUUUUAAGGCAGGGUUUGUGCACUGGAUCAUGCACCUCAUCUCGUGCGGGCAGACCGCGGUCACAAUCAACGGAGAAUUGGGGAAAAUUUUCCGUAACAAGAGGGGGCUCCGACAAGCACUACAAAAAAAUACACUUCCGUGA